UGAGGAAUAUUGGUCAAUGGGCGCGAGCCUGAACCAGCCAAGUAGCGUGCGGGAGGAAGGCCCUAUGGGUUGUAAACCGCUUUUACCGGGGGAUAAAGUGAGCGACGUGUCGCUCAUUGCAGGUACCCGGCGAAUAAGGACCGGCUAAUUCCGUGCCAGCAGCCGCGGUAAUACGGAAGGUCCGGGCGUUAUCCGGAUUUAUUGGGUUUAAAGGGAGCGCAGGCCGCCCCUUAAGCGUGUUGUGAAAUGCCGCGGCUCAACCGUGGCACUGCAGCGCGAACUGGGGGGCUUGAGUGCGCGCAGCGCAGGCGGAACUCGUGGUGUAGCGGUGAAAUGCUUAGAUAUCACGAAGAA
rnacentral:rRNA from 1 species